rnacentral:rRNA from 1 species
UACGGAGGGUGCAAGCGUUAUCCGGAUUCACUGGGUUUAAAGGGCGCGUAGGUGGGCAGGUAAGUCAGUGGUGAAAUCUCCGGGCUUAACCCGGAAACUGCCAUUGAUACUAUCAGUCUUGAAUACCGUGGAGGUAAGCGGAAUAUGUCAUGUAGCGGUGAAAUGCUUAGAUAUGACAUAGAACACCAAUUGCGAAGGCAGCUUACUACCCGAAUAUUGACACUGAGGCACGAAAGCGUGGGGAUCAAACAGG